rnacentral:rRNA from 1 species
UUGCAGUUAAAAAGCUCGUAGUUGGAUUUCUGAUUGUGGUUGGAUGUAUUGGCCGCGCUGCGGUCAGACACCAUACUACGAUCAAAACAUGUGAUGAUUGGGUGUGGUUGAUUCAUUUUGAUCCGCCCUUAAAUCGCUCGUUUACUUUGAGAAAAUUAGAGUGUUCAAAGCAGGCAUUGUGCUUGAAUAUGUUAGCAUGGAAUAAUAGCAUAGGACUUCAUGUUCUAUUUGUUGGUUGUUCGAGAACUAGAGUAAUGAUUGAUAGGGACGGUUGGGGGCAUCCGUAUUCUCAAGCGAGAGGUGAAAUUCUUGGACCUUGGGAAGACGAACAGCUGCGAAAGCGUUUGCCUAGGACGUUCUCUUUAAUCAAGAACGAAAGUUGGGGGAUCGAAGACGAUCAGAUACCGUCGUAGUCUCAACUAUAAACUAUGCCAGCUAGGGAUCGGUGGUACUUCGUCACGAGUCCAUCGGCACCUUACGAGAAAUCAAAGCAUUUGGGUUUCGGGGGGAGUAUGGUCGCAAGGCUGAAACUUAAAGGAAUUGACGGAAGGGCACCACCAGGAGUGGAGCCUGUGGCUUAAUUUGACUCAACACGGGAAAACUUACCAGGUCCCGACAUAGUAAGGAUUGACAGAUUGAUAGCUCUU